rnacentral:misc_RNA from 1 species
CGAGUCCGUCCCCGAGCUCCCACUCGUUAUCUCUGAUUCCGCCGAGUCCCUCGAAAAGACCUCCGCUGCAAUCAAGACACUGAAGCAGAUCGGCGCCUUCCCGGAUGCUGAGAAGGCGAAGGACAGCCGCUCGAUCCGCCCCGGCAAGGGGAAGAUGCGCAACCGUCGCUACAUCAAUCGCAAAGGCCCACUUAUUGUCUACGGCACCGAGGGAGCCAAGAUCGUGAAGGCCUUUCGCAACAUUCCUGGUGUUGAUGUUGCG